GACGAACGCUGGCGGCGUGCUUAACACAUGCAAGUCGAACGGAAAGGCCCUGCUUUUGUGGGGUGCUCGAGUGGCGAACGGGUGAGUAACACGUGAGUAACCUGCCCUUGACUUUGGGAUAACUUCAGGAAACUGGGGCUAAUACCGGAUAGGAGCUCCUGCUGCAUGGUGGGGGUUGGAAAGUUUCGGCGGUUGGGGAUGGACUCGCGGCUUAUCAGCUUGUUGGUGGGGUAGUGGCUUACCAAGGCUUUGACGGGUAGCCGGCCUGAGAGGGUGACCGGCCACAUUGGGACUGAGAUACGGCCCAGACUCCUACGGGAGGCAGCAGUGGGGAAUAUUGCACAAUGGGCGGAAGCCUGAUGCAGCAACGCCGCGUGCGGGAUGACGGCCUUCGGGUGGUAAACCGCUUUCGCCUGUGACGAAGCGUGAGUGACGGUAAUGGGGAAAGAAGCACCGGCUAACUACGU
rnacentral:rRNA from 1 species